AGAGUUUGAUCCUGGCUCAGGAUGAACGCUAGCGACAGGCUUAACACAUGCAAGUCGAGGGGCAUCAUGAGGUAGCAAUACCUUGAUGGCGACCGGCGCACGGGUGAGUAACGCGUAUGCAACCUGCCCGAUACCGGGGUAUAGCCCAUGGAAACGUGGAUUAACACCCCAUAGUACUUUUAUCCUGCAUGGGAUAGGAGUUAAAUGUUCAAGGUAUCGGAUGGGCAUGCGUCCUAUUAGUUAGUUGGCGGGGUAACAGCCCACCAAGACGAUGAUAGGUAGGGGUUCUGAGAGGAAGGUCCCCCACAUUGGAACUGAGACACGGUCCAAACUCCUACGGGAGGCAGCAGUGAGGAAUAUUGGUCAAUGGACGUAAGUCUGAACCAGCCAAGUCGCGUGAGGGAAGACUGCCCUAUGGGUUGUAAACCUCUUUUAUAAGGGAAGAAUAAGUUCUACGUGUAGAAUGAUGCCUGUACCUUAUGAAUAAGCAUCGGCUAACUCCGUGCCAGCAGCCGCGGUAAUACGGAGGAUGCGAGCGUUAUCCGGAUUUAUUGGGUUUAAAGGGUGCGUAGGCGGUUUAUUAAGUUAGUGGUUAAAUAUUUGAGCUAAACUCAAUUGUGCCAUUAAUACUGGUAAACUGGAGUACAGACGAGGUAGGCGGAAUAAGUUAAGUAGCGGUGAAAUGCAUAGAUAUAACUUAGAACUCCGAUAGCGAAGGCAGCUUACCAGACUGUAACUGACGCUGAUGCACGAGAGCGUGGGUAGCGAACAGGAUUAGAUACCCUGGUAGUCCACGCCGUAAACGAUGCUCACUGGUUCUGUGCGAUAUAUUGUACGGGAUUAAGCGAAAGUAUUAAGUGAGCCACCUGGGGAGUACGUCGGC
rnacentral:rRNA from 1 species